GUCUCGUCUAGUAUACUUGAGAGACUCUCUCAGCCCUGCUCUCCAAACUACGUAAAACGAUGGAUUUGAUCAGCUGGUCUCUCAACGCAAUUGACACCAUCUUCUCGAUGAGAAGCCUAGGUUCGGGGGAACCUGUCUGGCAGGAACGUAUGCUGCUGGCUACACGAUGGACGGAUGGGAGCGGUGGAGGGUCGUGUGCCUGGCAGCUCUUUCCGUGGAGGACAUUGAAGACAUCUACCUAUUCGGAACCAUGAUUACAGGCCUGGGGGCUGAAGCUAAUUCAGUGGUAAAGACAUGAGCUCGUCUCUUGGAGGUCGACGUGAGGAGGUCUGCACUGGAAAAGACCACACUGAGACCAAACAGCUGUCUCCCUUCCUCCAUCUCUGAGCUACAGGAUGGUAUGUGUCACCUAACCUCUGCACA